ACAGUGGACGCGAGCAUCUUUGUUGUAAGUGUUUAUGAGCGUACGGUGGAUGUCUUGGCACCAGGAGCCGAUGAAGGACGUGGGAGGCUGCGAUAUGCCUCGGGGAGCUGUCAACCGAGCUGUGAUCCGAGGAUUUCCGAAUGGGGAAACCCAGCACGAGUGAUGUCGUGUUACCUGCCGGUGAAUAUAUAGCCGGUGUGGAGGGAACGUGGGGAAGUGAAACAUCUCAGUACCCACAGGAAGAGAAAACAACAUGUGAUUCCGUCAGUAGUGGCGAGCGAACGCGGAAGAGGCUAAACCAUGGGUGUGUGAUACCUGGCAGGGGUUGCACUCGUGGGGUUGUGGGG
rnacentral:rRNA from 1 species